rnacentral:rRNA from 1 species
GAUGAACGCUGGCGGCGUGCCUAAUACAUGCAAGUCGAGCGAACAGAUGAGGAGCUUGCUCCUCUGACGUUAGCGGCGGACGGGUGAGUAACACGUGGAUAACCUACCUAUAAGACUGGGAUAACUUCGGGAAACCGGAGCUAAUACCGGAUAAUAUAUUGAACCGCAUGGUUCAAUAGUGAAAGACGGUUUUGCUGUCACUUAUAGAUGGAUCCGCGCCGCAUUAGCUAGUUGGUAAGGUAACGGCUUACCAAGGCAACGAUGCGUAGCCGACCUGAGAGGGUGAUCGGCCACACUGGAACUGAGACACGGUCCAGACUCCUACGGGAGGCCGCAGUAGGGAAUCUUACGCAAUGGGCGAAAGCCUGACGGAGCAACGCCGCGUGAGUGAUGAAGGUCUUCGGAUCGUAAAACCCUGUUAUUAGGGAAGAACAAAUGUGUAAGUAACUAUGCACGUCUUGACGGUACCUAAUCAGAAAGCCACGGCUAACUACGUG